UGGGGAAUAUUGGACAAUGGGCGCAAGCCUGAUCCAGCCAUACCGCGUGGGUGAAGAAGGCCUUCGGGUUGUAAAGCCCUUUUGUUGGGAAAGAAAUCCUGUCGGUUAAUAACCGGUAGGGAUGACGGUACCCAAAGAAUAAGCACCGGCUAACUUCGUGCCAGCAGCCGCGGUAAUACGAAGGGUGCAAGCGUUACUCGGAAUUACUGGGCGUAAAGCGUGCGUAGGUGGUUGUUUAAGUCUGCUGUGAAAGCCCUGGGCUCAACCUGGGAAUUGCAGUGGAUACUGGGCGACUAGAGUGUGGUAGAGGAUAGUGGAAUUUCCGGUGUAGCAGUGAAAUGCGUAGAGAUCGGAAGGAACAUCUGUGGCGAAGGCGACUAUCUGGGCCAACACUGACACUGAGGCACGAAAGCGUGGGGAGCAAACAG
rnacentral:rRNA from 1 species